GGAGAGGUGGCUGAGUGGUCGAAAGCACAUCUUUGCUAAAGAUGCGUACUCCAAAAGGGUACCGUGGGUUCGAAUCCCACCCUCUCCGCCA
rnacentral:tRNA from 2 species